rnacentral:ncRNA from 1 species
ACAAAUCCUGUGAAGGGAAGAGUAACUGGUGUGAGCCUAUUGCUCAGAGAGCCGGGUGAGGUGAAAGCCGGCAUAGGUGACCCAGUGAAGAUGGCCCUGGAGGAGUUCACCUGAAGCAAGUUGAGACCAACUUUUGUGAGGGUGGGACGAUUGCCUGCGUUAAAGGUCAAGUGUCACACUGGCAGAGAGUGCCUGACGUGAGUCGGCACUGAAUUUGGGUGGUACCGCGUGAGGAUAUCCUCUCGUCCCAAUG